rnacentral:tRNA from 1 species
GGGGGCGUGGCGGAAUUGGCAUACGCAGCGGACUUAAAAUCCGCAGCCGAAAGGAUUGUGGGUUCGAGUCCCACCGCCCCUACCA